UUAGGGACAUAUGAAUAAAUGCAAAUUUAGCCUACAUUUUAAGAGGAGGUAGUAUUUUAAGUGUGUUCCAAAACUACACCAAGAUCGCCCUCAGAUUCUCUUCUCUAUUCCUGAGGGUGGUGCAGAUGAAGAAGAGAGUACUUCCUUUGGAGUGAUCAGGGAAGGCUUCACAGGGAAGUGGAAUUUGAGGUAGAUUUAGAAAAACAGAUACGACUUUUGCUAGGUGAUUGUGGAGAAAGCAUUUUUAAACCCCAGGAACAGUAUGAGCAAAGACAUAGAGGUAAGGUUGAUUGUACAUUGAAUGUUUGGGGUAGAGCUAAUAGUUUAGUGUCAUUAGGAGAGAGGAUUGAUAUAGGCAUGUAAAGGGAGACAAAUAUAGAAAGCUAGGUAGGGGCCCUGAGGUAGGAUACUUUGAAUGGCAUGCUAAAGGGUAUGGAUUUGAUUUCAUGGGCUCUGAGGAGUAUUUUUCUUAUAUUUAUCAUGCAUUAAAGACUUAUUAAUCAUGUAAAAGGAUUGGACUAUCUUGAAAACACAAUAUGUUUUUUUUUUCCUGAGAAUAUAUCUUAGAAAUGGUAUUAUAAAUAAGGGACUAAAAAUGAUUUACUUUACAAACGUGUAUUUUUGCAGACAACAUUUUGGGUGUGCAUAAUUUUCUUUAAAUGACAUGAAAUUGAAAUACAUAUUAAAUUCAAAACAAAUGAUUUUUAAAAGUAUUCAUUGUUUGGACUGUCCUUGCCAUGGCUUGCUUUUUUGCA
rnacentral:lncRNA from 1 species